UAGAUGGCCCUGCAACUCCAGUUGGUGCACUCAGCAGUGCUUUAAGCAAACUCCAAGCUAGUACUAAGUUUAGACAACUGCGCGAAGCUGGCAAGGUAUAUUGGAUUCAUUUUUCGUUUAGUAUGGUGUAACUGGUAAAGUUAUUGCCAUGUGACUAAGAGGUCAUGGGUUCAAGCCGUGAAAACAGCCUCUUGCAAAAAUAUAGG
rnacentral:lncRNA from 1 species